UCUAAAAAACGAUUUUUUCCUGAUACGGAGGUGUCUACGGUCCAGAGUCGGGACUCUUCGGAAAGCAACCGGAGGUAGAAUACGUGAUAGUUAGUACUCGACUCAGCUCUAGGAG
rnacentral:sRNA from 1 species